GACAGAGGGUGCAAACGUUGCUCGGAAUCACUGGGCGUAAAGGGCGCGUAGGCGGCCCUGUUGGUCGGGCGUGAAAUCCCCGGGCUCAACCCGGGGGCUGCGCCCGAAACGGCGGGGCUGGAGGCAAGGAGAGGCUCGCGGAAUUCCCAGUGUAGAGGUGAAAUUCGUAGAUAUCGUAAGGAAGACCAGUGGCGAAGGCGGGUCUCUGGACAGUUCCUGACGCUGAGGCACGAAGGUCAGGGGAGCAAACGGG
rnacentral:rRNA from 1 species